CCCACCUGCAAUGGACCAUCAUUCCUGAAGCCUGGACAUUCUCAGGGACAGAGCAGUUAGUGCCUGGGGGCACAUGCCACACAGAGGCUCCAGGUCCAGCCAAGGAUGACACUCUGAUCCCUGAAUCAUUCACCGGCUGCCUUCAAUUCCUCUAGCUUAAUGAAAUGUAAUCUAUCAUUGUAAUUGAAUGCUCACUGCUCUGAGCGGUUUCCACUUGCCAAUUACUGCAUGAUCAAAUGAGCCCCAGUUAGAACCAAUUGGGUACAUGUGAAUGGCUUGGUGGGAUGGAUGUUCUUGAAUGUACGAUGUGCUGUCUAUCACAAGUGAUACCACUAACCAUCAGUCACAGCACAUGUUUUGUUAUUUGAUGGAAGUGAUGGGCCUGCACUUUUCUAGCCACAUACUCUUUCCUGUUUUCUUCUUUGCACAAUUGCACAUAGGAUGUCUGGAUGCCAUGGUUAAGGGAGGCGUCUACACCGAGAAAUAUGGAGCAGCUUAGAUGGAUUGGGCAAGCGUUUGGAAGGAUGACUCAGAAGCCAAGGAUGGUUUGAUCCUUGAGUGAGCCCUGUUCAUCUCCCCAGCCUUGGGGAGAUGCUCUCCACAUGCUGUUGCUAAAGGGAAAUGGGGAAAGAGAAUUUGGAAAUUGAGCACAAAACCAUUGCUACUACUGAAAACUUUGGAAUGUUUUAGUGAGAGGCCAGUGAUGGUCAUUAUGUGAAGGGCACAAGGACUGUUGUUUAUGGAAGCUCAAACGCGGAAUUGCUUGUGAUGAAUGUUUCUCACUUGAGUCUCUGUGGAAGCCUUCCUUUGCCUUGUGUUUCUCAGUGUCAGCCAAACUCAUUUCCUGUGUGUCAUCUGUCAGUCAUAACUAGGAUGAGGGAUAGCUGAUGAACUCACUCAGAUUUAAGGUGACAAUGUGGUUGAUACUGACAAGUCAAAUGUGAAUGUUUCAAGGAUUGAUUCUUGUCCCUAUGGGACGUUGAUUAAUGACACUUAACAGGACUCUUGGAAGGCAGCCUUAAAAGUGUUUCUGAAUCUGUUGGAUAAGUGUGAUCACACCCUGUUCCUGGAACCAGUGUGACUCCUCACACACACAUUUACCAUAGAAGAGGAGCCUCUUCUUAUUAGGUGGUUUGUUUUGUUUUUAAGAAAGAUAACCCAAAAGCUGCCAGUUUUUCUAUUCACUUUGAAUUACUAAGAUUGUAUUUAUUUAAUUUUAUUAAUUUUACAAAGUUGCACCUUGUGACCAAAGGGCAAAGACAACGCAUUAGGGAUUUGUGUUUUCCAAGUGUUUUGUGUCCAUCUGUAUGCGUGUGGAAUAGACAGUAGGGGGAGAACCUGUUGGAAAAAGAGGGUUCUCAUAAGUAUUCCUUGGGGUGUUUUUUGUUUUCAUCAUUAAUUAUGAUUUAAAGUAGAACAAAAAUGGCUUCUGGUGAGGCCCAGCUUGACCAGGGUGCUGCAGCCAGCCUGCUUGGUGUGCUUGUUCAUUUUGGAAUGGGGGAGGGGACUAGGACCACAACUGGGAAAAGCAAUGACGUCUGCUCUAUUACAAAGAUAAGAAACGGUCCCACAAAUUAAAAAAAUAAUAAUAAAUGGCUAUUUUUGAAAUUCAAAUAUUUAAAUUUUGUAAAUCAGCUGCUUAGGACACCAUGUGUUUGUAACUUUUUUUUUUCUAUAGUGUCCCUUUAAGCCUCUUCCCAAAGGUUAGUGUCCCUGGUAUGACAAGUGGCGAAACAUCAGAGAAGUAAGCAUCUGAAGGGAUCCAGGAAACUUUGGGGGAAAAGAGGGGCAGAAACCAGUGCCCUGUGGUAUACAACAAAUACCUUUUGUUCCGUCCUCUCCCACCCCUACCAGAUUCCUCAACCAAAACCAGUCCAGAACUUCAGAAACAGGAACAAGUCGUCCCGCUGUUCGGCUGUGCAGCUGUUUGUUUUGCUUAAUGCCCUUCGUCAACACUUUCCGCAAGUGUAGUUGCAGACAAAUGCUUUUUUUCUGUUGUUCGCUCUGUGUGGGGUGUGUAAAUAACCUAAAAUGUACAUUGAAUUUCACAGUGUAAAGUUUUAUUUUAUUCCUUGUAUUAUAUUAUUCAAAACCAUCCCGAUGUACAUGAAGUGCAUAAUAAAUCUAUUUGCUUUACAG
rnacentral:lncRNA from 1 species